GACUCUCGGCAACGGAUAUCUCGGCUCUCGCAUCGAUGAAGAACGUAGCGAAAUGCGAUACUUGGUGUGAAUUGCAGAAUCCCGCGAACCAUCGAGUCUUUGAACGCAAGUUGCGCCCGAGGCCACCCGGCCGAGGGCACGCCUGCCUGGGCGUCA
rnacentral:rRNA from 5 species